CCAGCUUGCUGGGUGGAUUAGUGGCGAACGGGUGAGUAACACGUGAGUAACCUGCCCUUAACUCUGGGAUAAGCCUGGGAAACUGGGUCUAAUACCGGAUAGGAGCGUCCACCGCAUGGUGGGUGUUGGAAAGAUUUAUCGGUUUUGGAUGGACUCGCGGCCUAUCAGCUUGUUGGUGAGGUAAUGGCUCACCAAGGCGACGACGGGUAGCCGGCCUGAGAGGGUGACCGGCCACACUGGGACUGAGACACGGCCCAGACUCCUACGGGAGGCAGCAGUGGGGAAUAUUGCACAAUGGGCGCAAGCCUGAUGCAGCGACGCCGCGUGAGGGAUGACGGCCUUCGGGUUGUAAACCUCUUUCAGUAGGGAAGAAGCGAAAGUGACGGUACCUGCAGAAGAAGCACCGGCUAACUACGUGCCAGCAGCCGCGGUAAUACGUAGGGUGCGAGCGUUAUCCGGAAUUAUUGGGCGUAAAGAGCUCGUAGGCGGUUUGUCGCGUCUGUCGUGAAAGUCCGGGGCUUAACCCCGGAUCUGCGGUGGGUACGGGCAGACUAGAGUGCAGUAGGGGAGACUGGAAUUCCUGGUGUAGCGGUGGAAUGCGCAGAUAUCAGGAGGAACACCGAUGGCGAAGGCAGGUCUCUGGGCUGUAACUGACGCUGAGGAGCGAAAGCAUGGGGAGCGAACAGGAUUAGAUACCCUGGUAGUCCAUGCCGUAAACGUUGGGCACUAGGUGUGGGGACCAUUCCACGGUUUCCGCGCCGCAGCUAACGCAUUAAGUGCCCCGCCUGGGGAGUACGGCCGCAAGGCUAAAACUCAAAGGAAUUGACGGGGGCCCGCACAAGCGGCGGAGCAUGCGGAUUAAUUCGAUGCAACGCGAAGAACCUUACCAAGGCUUGACAUGUUCUCGAUCGCCGUAGAGAUACGGUUUCCCCUUUGGGGCGGGUUCACAGGUGGUGCAUGGUUGUCGUCAGCUCGUGUCGUGAGAUGUUGGGUUAAGUCCCGCAACGAGCGCAACCCUCGUUCCAUGUUGCCAGCACGUAAUGGUGGGGACUCAUGGGAGACUGCCGGGGUCAACUCGGAGGAAGGUGAGGACGACGUCAAAUCAUCAUGCCCCUUAUGUCUUGGGCUUCACGCAUGCUACAAUGGCCGGUACAAUGGGUUGCGAUACUGUGAGGUGGAGCUAAUCCCAAAAAGCCGGUCUCAGUUCGGAUUGGGGUCUGCAACUCGACCCC
rnacentral:rRNA from 1 species